UUUAAUUAUUUCCCCACCUUAUAUCUCCAACUACAAAUUAAAGCCCAACAAUUAAAUGGAGUCCAUCUUUAAUAAUUUACCCAUGUCAACUAAUGAAGCCCAACUAUCCAAAACAUCUUAUUUAAAUUAAAGAGGCCCAAACAUCAAAUUCUAAAUAAUGAGGCCCAAUUCCAAUUAAUUAGAAAAGCCCAAAAACAAGUGUACUUCCCCCCACGUCUUCUCUUCUCUUCUCUUCUCUUCUCUUCUCUUCUCUUCCCUUCUCUUCUCUUCUCUUCCCUCUCGCCGGCUGGAAUGUCACCCAAAUCUCCCGUCGGCUUCUUCCGUUCGCCUCACCCACCGCCGCCGGCCGCUGCUGUCACGACGGUCCGCGCAGCCGCCAGCCGCUGCCGUCGCUGCUGCCCGUUGUUGCUGCCUUCGUCGCCGGGAGGAGCUGCUGCUGCCCUCGUCGCCGGGAGGAGCUGCUGCUGCCGCCAGCCGCUGCCUUCGUCGCCGGUUCGCGCAGCUACCCGAACUCGCCCCGAACAGCCCCGAAUCAAGACCGCGCAGCCCCGAUUUCCUCCCCGAAGAUCACGGAGGGUGAAUAUCUCAUCACGGAGCAGGAAAUAUCUGUGUAAAAUCUUUAAUUAAGAUUAGAAUUAAAAAUAUUUUAUUUUAAUUAGUUUAGCUUAAUUCACAGCCCAUUGUAUUUUAUUUUAAAUUGUGCAGUACACAAUUUAUUAAUCACGGACUGGACUAUUAUAUUAUUUAUUUUAUUUAU